rnacentral:rRNA from 1 species
UGCGUAGGCGGUAAUUUAAGUCGGAUGUGAAAUCCCACUGCUCAACGGUGGAACUGCAUUCGAUACUAUUUUACUAGAGUACAGGAGAGGAGAUUGGAAUUCUUGGUGUAGCGGUGAAAUGCGUUGAUAUCAAGAAGAACACCGGUGGCGAAGGCGGAUCUCUGGAAUGUUACUGACGCUGAGGCACGAAAGCUAGGGGAGCAAACAGGAUUAGAUACCCUGGUAGUCC